CCUACGGGAGGCAGCAGUGGGGAAUCUUAGACAAUGGGGGCAACCCUGAUCUAGCCAUGCCGCGUGAGUGAUGAAGGCCUUAGGGUCGUAAAGCUCUUUCGCCUGUGAUGAUAAUGACAGUAGCAGGUAAAGAAACCCCGGCUAACUCCGUGCCAGCAGCCGCGGUAAUACGGAGGGGGUUAGCGUUGUUCGGAAUUACUGGGCGUAAAGCGCGCGUAGGCGGAUUAGAAAGUCGGGGGGUGAAAUCCCGGGGCUCAACCUCGGAACUGCCUCCAAAACUGCUAGUCUAGAGUUCGAGAGAGGUGAGUGGAAUUCCGAGUGUAGAGGUGAAAUUCGUAGAUAUUCGGAGGAACACCAGUGGCGAAGGCGGCUCACUGGCUCGAUACUGACGCUGAGGUGCGAAAGUGUGGGGAGCAAACAGGAUUAGAUACCCUGGUAGUCCACACCGUAAACGAUGAAUGCCAGUCGUCGGGUAGUAUACUAUUCGGUGACACACCUAACGGAUUAAGCAUUCCGCCUGGGGAGUACGGUCGCAAGAUUAAAACUCAAAGGAAUUGACGGA
rnacentral:rRNA from 1 species